rnacentral:rRNA from 1 species
ACGCUGGCGGCGUGCUUAACACAUGCAAGUCGAACGAAAAUACCAAGCUUGCUUGGUUGAUUAGUGGCGAACGGGUGAGUAACACGUGAGUAACCUGCCCCUUACUUUCCUGGAUAACUGCUCGAAAGGGUAGCUAAUACGGGAUAUUCUGACCAUCCUGCAUGGGUUGGUUUGGAAAGGUUGUUUUUCUGGUAAGGGAUGGGCUCGCGGCCUAUCAGCUUGUUGGUGGGGUGAUGGCCUACCAAGGCUUUGACGGGUAGCCGGCCUGAGAGGGUGGACGGUCACACUGGGACUGAGAUACGGACCAGACUCCUACGGGAGGCAGCAGUGGGGAAUAUUGCACAAUGGGCGCAAGCCUGAUGCAGCGACGCCGCGUGAGGGAUGAAGGCCUUCGGGUUGUAAACCUCUUUCGUCAGGGAACAAGGCACUGCUUUGGUGGUGUUGAGGGUACCUGGAUAAGAAGCGCCGGCUAACUACGUGCCAGCAGCCGCGGUAAUACGUAGGGCGCAAGCGUUGUCCGGAAUUAUUGGGCGUAAAGAGCUCGUAGGCGGCUGGUCGCGUCUGUCGUGAAAACUUCCGGCUCGACCGGGGGCUUGCGGUGGGUACGGGCCGGCUAGAGUGCGGUAGGGGUAACUGGAACUCCUGGUGUAGCGGUGGAAUGCGCAGAUAUCAGGAAGAACACCGAUGGCGAAGGCAGGUUACUGGGCCGUUACUGACGCUGAGGAGCGAAAGCGUGGGGAGCGAACAGGAUUAGAUACCCUGGUAGUCCACGCCGUAAACGUUGGGCACUAGGUGUGAGGCUCCUUUCCGGGGGUUUUGCGCCGUAGCUAACGCAUUAAGUGCCCCGCCUGGGGAGUACGGCCGCAAGGCUAAAACUCAAAGGAAUUGACGGGGGCCCGCA